rnacentral:rRNA from 1 species
UACGGAGGGUGCAAGCGUUAAUCGGAAUUACUGGGCGUACAGGGUGCGUAGGCGGUUGUUUAAGUCUGUUGUGAAAUCCCCGGGCUCAACCUGGGAAUGGCAAUGGAUACUGGGCAGCUAGAGUGUGUCAGAGGAUGGUGGAAUUCCCGGUGUAGCGGUGAAAUGCGUAGAGAUCGGGAGGAACAUCAGUGGCGAAGGCGGCCAUCUGGGACAACACUGACGCUGAAGCACGAAAGCGUGGGGAGCAAACAGG